CCACCGUCCUGCGACUGUUUAUAGUCAGUGUGUGGGAGCUGAACCUUGCAUCAUUUGCUUAAUGGGUUUCUUCCCCUUCCCCUGGAAACAGGAAAAAGAAUGUUAGCUUUCUCCAGGAGCCUUCAGCAACAAGGCUCAAAUCAUUUUCCCAGCCUAGCCCAGCAAACAAAGAUGCUUACAUUCUCCCCGGCACUGCAAACAGCUUUUCAGUGGCAGCUGGUCCUAGGAUUAGGCUCCCCUCCCCCUGCCCUGGUCCCAGUGCAGAUCCACAGAUCUCCAGGUUCAUUCCCUCCCUGUACACAGGCUCUUUGUAAACGGAAAGAAGAAUCUGCAAAACAAACAAACAAACAAACAAAAACCCAUGACCUUCAUCCGUGGGAACCAGGUUUUAGGGAGAAAGCCUGAACUUCCAGAUGGGGACAAUGAUGAUGAUGUCAUAGCAGACAUAAGUAACAGGAAGAUGGCGAAACUCUACAUGGGGCAGCUGGGGCCAUUUCUGAGUGGAUGAAGAGUGGUAACUGUAUUCCUACAAUUACCAUGGUCCCCCAUCACAUUAACCUGAUUGUGGAAACAUGUCUGGUCUACUCUGCUUAAUCAUAUCAACAUACCAAAGAAGGAUCGUCCGUACAUGAGCUUCUGGAUGUACACAGGAGGAAAUUGCACAAGCACAGCAUGGGGCCAUGGGAUAGCCACAUCGUCAGAAAGACCUGGCUGAGCAGUGACACCAUGAAUAAGACUCUCACACUGAAGAGCUGUAAGCGGACCUUUAGCUGUGCCCAAGGCUCUCAGACGGUGAGAAGUGAGGCUUUAAAUCUACUGUUUUGCUUGGAGUCAAAGCCGUGUUUACUACCUUGCCUAUUUACUACACAGUCCCAAAUAUAUGCACUUUAAUGUCAAAAUCACUUCCAGAAGCCAGCCACUGACAAUAUCCUACUGUCUCAGAAGUUGUAUCUGUUGAAACUUACAUGCAUUCAAACCAGAUGUCCAACAACAAGGAAGUGGUUUUAGUAAAGUAAGAUACAUCAAGAGCAUGGAAUAUUAUGGCCAUAUUAAACUUGUAAUUCUGAAGUUCUGUUUCGAGACAUAAGAUGGCAUGAUGUUUUAUGGAUGAAUACAUAAAAGCUUUGUGUGUGUAUCCUAAAGAAGUUGGAUAUGCAUGAACUCCUUUAAAAUAUUUCAUCUUGGUGGGAAAUCAGAGCCCUGUUUGCUUCCUGUUCGCCUUGAAGACCAGCCAAGACCUCAUCUGCCACAUCCAAUAAGGUGGCAGUUGGAGAACCUCGUGCUAUUUUUCACAUGGCCAAAGCAAGCUGUUGGAUCCUGUGGGACACAAAAAGAUGGCUGACUUUGGUCUGUGCAAGGAAAAUAGCUGGGAAGGAUUGACACUCCAAACAUUCUGGGGGGGCACUCCAGACUGCACUGCAGAGAAAUCAUUGCUAAUCAGCCUCUGGAAGGUCUGUGGGUGGGUGGGCCGUCAGAGUAUUGCUGUACAAAAUGUUGGCCAGGCAGGCCCUUUGUAGGGGGAAGAUGAACUUGUCUGGUGUGCAAGACAAUGGGGCUUGAUCCCGUAGCCUAUGUCUGAGAAGGCAGUGUCCAUCUGCAGAGGGCUAAGGACAAGACACCCAGAUAAAUGUGUUGAAGUCCUGAGGGGAACGUGAUGUGAAAGUAUGUUUAUGGUAUAUUUAUUGAGACAAACUUCAACACACAGCGCUUUCCACCUCAGUAUGAACCCAAAGCUCCUCUUGAUAAGAUUUCCAACUUCAGGAAGACUUCCAGAGAAGAAUACCAUUCCAGUAACAAUGGGAAGUUGAGAACGGCCACCAAUGGUCCAGAAAAAAAAAAAGAAUAGAGCUUAGUUUUUGCUUUUAAAAGGGUGUGGGGUGAGGUGGGAAUUUUGUGAUGGCAAGUGCCACUGGAAAGGGUGAUUCCCAACUUAGUUACAUGCGCUGUCAAUGCCAUUGGGUCACAACAUUGUUCAGUACACUGGGGCCUUUUGUUCUCUAACUGUAUAUUCCAAGCUUGUGAAUUAGAAUUAAGUCUCUCCGAUUUGUCCAG
rnacentral:sRNA from 1 species